GAACUUUGAGAUCCUGGGCUCAAAGCGCCUGUACCAGUUGCCCUGCAGUGCCACUGCCCUGUACCCCAGCAUCAGCCAGAACCCACGGCUGGUGUUUCCUCGCUGGAGGAAGAGCAAGGAGAAGGAGGACAUCAUCUCCAAGGAAUAUGUCAUGAGCACAAAGCAGUUCCACUUUGGACCGCUGCUUUGUGGCAAGUCAGGAGAGUGACCAUGGUCUUCCAGUGCCACCUCCUGCUGCC